UAAAUACUCACUGUGGGGAAUAUUCACACACAAUAUAUUGCAUAUAUAGUGAAUUACAAUAAUCCUUUAAGUGGGGGACCCCACUCUUACACAGUCUAAUAAUGAUCAAAUCAACCCAAAUAUAUUAGUUCAAAUCACACCUUAAGAGCUAUUCACUUUCCAAAGCAAUAUGACAAAAUAUAUUUUUAUUCGAACAAUUAUUAUGGUCACAAAGUACAACAUGGCAAUGGUACUAGGAUGAAGUGAAGUGAGAGAGAGAGAGAGAGAUUUCAAUAGUGAAAGCCAUUACUGCUUUCCUAACCCACAAAAAGUUGAAGAGGGUAUCACUUCCUUGUGAAGUAUGAUUAGUACCAAUACUUCAUUUUCCUAUCAAAGAUGCCUGGUCCAUAUGUGGAUACAAAUAUCUCAACAAGCAGGGGAAAUUGCAACAGUAUGAAAAGGGUGACUGGAAUACUAGCCAAUAGAGUAAUUGGAAUUACAAGUUUCAUCUCUCCCUUCAACAUUAUUAUAAGAGUAGCACAAAAUGCUACCAUCAUGGCUGCAAUUGAAAUGAAAAGAGUGGAAAGACCAAUGAUUAACUUUGUGGGCAAGGACUUGAUGAAGUCAUCCUCUGCAUAGCGUGAUGUAAGGACUCCUAAGAACAUCCAUACUGAUGUAGAGGAAGCAAAGAGUGAAAUUGCAUCGGAUAUUAUAAAAACCAUAAAUGACUUUUUAUGUAAAAAUAGUGGAAAGCCUGUAUCUUGAACGUUACCACCAGGAACGGUAAAUGCUGCAGUAAACAUAAUGGUAAUUAUAAGAGCACCUACAACUGUACAAGAUGUUGCUGUCUCCUUCAUCCAUUGCUCCCCAUCACUCACCAACUGCUUGUGGGUAUCAGAAAAUAUUUGGCUAGGCUUUUCAUUGGAGCUGUUGGUAUAUUCCUUAGACAACGGAUUCACAAUACUUUCCACUUCCUUGUACCACUGUAGCUCUCUUUGCAUCUGUAGAACUGCACCUGAAAUGUGUGCAAGUCGAUCAGGAGUAGCUAAUUUUGCUGCAAUGUGUAAGAUGUUAUUUUUCCACUCAUCAAUUCCAGAAAUCAGCAUGUACUUCCUUGUGUCAAGCACAUAUAUAAGGCUGAAAAUUUUUUCUUGCCGAUGUUGAACAGCAGACUGAAGGAUGCCUCUGCGAUUAGUGUUUAGAACAGUUAAAAGAUUGGGAUUGGCUUUAAGCAUCUCAAUAACAACUUCAAUGAUCCCAUUGUCGAUAGCUGUAAGGAAUGCUUGAUACAAUCCGCUUUCAUUGAUUCUGGUGUCAUCUAUAGUUGAUAUAUCUUCGGACAUCCAAUGUAAAAUUUCAAGAGCAUAGGCAUGGGUCAACUUUGUAUCAUAAAUCUGCUUUAGUCCUUCAUUAAUAAGUAAGAUGAAGCUAAAUGUGAGAAGCCUUUAAAAACCAAUUAAAAAUUGAAGGUAAAUAAAAUAAAAAGGGAAUGAGAGUCUGAAAUUGAAUAUAGGGUACCAAACAAUUGAAAUAAAUUUGAACCAAGUGUUCGCAAUGGACCUAGCCCUGCAAAAUUAAAUCAAUUCACUGUGAAUAACAAAAAUGAUCCAAGUGAAGGUCCCCAGAUCAUCUCCCAAUUAUUUUCAUUUUUAUACAUGUACAAAAAGAAAAAGGAGUUAAACAAAAUAUCUAGCUGAACAUGGCUUCGGAUUGCAUAUGAUAUAAGUCCCUUAAAUGCGUAACAUUAUGCCAUACGUCUCUCUUUUCAGAGUGUUUGUGAGAGAUAACCGAGAAGCAUACCUCGUGCUAAAGUGCUCCUAGGAUGCAUGUGGCCAUUUUGUGGAAUGCGUAUUCGAACAUCACUGUCCUGGGCAGUAGGUAGUUGCAUCUGAAUACAAGAAUAAAUCCAUCGUUUCCAAAACACAAAUCGGAGUCCACUGGGGAAUAAAUCCCUUAAAGCAGAGAUUUGAAUCAGAGGUGUGGUUUCCAGAUAGUUUGGUGUCGUUGCCAAUCGUGGGCAUCUCCGGAGAAGAUGUAGGGAAAUGUCAUACAUUUCACUAAAUAUGGACACAUGAAGAAGCAAAGAUCCAUAUGCUCCAUUUUCUUGGAGCAGUAAGUCAAAUGGAGUGAUGGAGUAUAGAUAUCUGGCCAUAUCCUUAUGGCGGCAGGUACAUGCCAUUAUGACUGGGAGGUGGUGAUCUUUUCCGGGAAUGCUAACCAACUCACUGUUCUUUUUUAUCAUGCAUUCUGCAAUUCUUGUGGCUCCAGUAGCAGCAGCCAGUAAAAGAGCUGUACCACCAAGGUUGUCAGUUACUUUUAACUCUUCUACUGUCAACAACUUGACUAACUCCUCCACCAUCUUCAAUUUUCCGGUUGAAGUUGCAAGAUGAAGUGCCGUAAAACCAUUAUCUAUAAGCUUUUUGCAUACUGCAUCUGGACGACGGCGAAGGAAUUCUCUCACAGCAUUUAAAUCACCUCUCUCUAUAGCUUUGCAUAGAGGACGAAAUUGAACAUAAACAUCACCCUCUGUCCCUUGUGGCUUUGUUUGAUCUCCUGAUGAGUUUUUGGCCAAAACAUUCCACCAAAUCCUUGCUGUGUUUACUACAAUCCUCAAUCUGUCAAUUAUUUUUAAUGAUGACAUGAGGCUUAACAAUUAAUAUAUAUGAUAUGACAAGUGAAAGUGAUCUUACUAUGUGUAAUACUCCACUAGAACGAUUAAUCAUUUAUACAAAAUAGAAAGAAAAAGGAAAAGAAAAUUUCAGCAUGGGAACCCAGAUUGUCUUUUCACUCUCGCUCUUUUUGUAUGGC
rnacentral:misc_RNA from 1 species